UACGUAGGGUGCAAGCGUUGUCCGGAAUUAUUGGGCGUAAAGAGCUCGUAGGCGGUUUGUCGCGUCUGCUGUGAAAACCCGAGGCUCAACCUCGGGCCUGCAGUGGGUACGGGCAGACUAGAGUGCGGUAGGGGAGAUUGGAAUUCCUGGUGUAGCGGUGGAAUGCGCAGAUAUCAGGAGGAACACCGGGUGGCGAAGGCGGUUCUCUGGGCCUUACCUGACGCUGAGGAGCGAAAGCGUGGGGAGCAAACAGG
rnacentral:rRNA from 1 species